rnacentral:rRNA from 1 species
GACGAACGCUGGCGGCGUGCUUGACACAUGCAAGUCGAACGGAAAGGCCCUGCUUUUGUGGGGUGCUCGAGUGGCGAACGGGUGAGUAACACGUGAGUAACCUGCCCUUGACUUUGGGAUAACUUCAGGAAACUGGGGCUAAUACCGGAUAGGAGCUCCUGCUGCAUGGUGGGGGUUGGAAAGUUUCGGCGGUUGGGGAUGGACUCGCGGCUUAUCAGCUUGUUGGUGGGGUAGUGGCUUACCAAGGCUUUGACGGGUAGCCGGCCUGAGAGGGUGACCGGCCACAUUGGGACGGAGAUACGGCCCAGACUCCUACGGGAGGCAGCAGUGGGGAAUAUUGCACAAUGGGCGGAAGCCUGAUGCAGCAACGCCGCGUGCGGGAUGACGGCCUUCGGGUUGUAAACCGCUUUCGCCUGUGACGAAGCGUGAGGGACGGUAAUGGGUAAAGAAGCACCGGCUAACUACGU